rnacentral:lncRNA from 1 species
CGUGAGAUAAAGCACAUCAAAUAUGGCAGCCCUUGAGGGAGUGCUCUAAAGACUCGGUGCAAGGUGUUUGGACCACAGCCUGGCCGUGGCACAACCUGAACCUUUGCCUUUGCUCUCUGUUCAUCUGUGCCACUCAAUAACUGCUGUGAGCUGGGGGAUGAUGAUUUCUCAUCAUGGAGAAAUACGUCUUUCUGAAGGAGCGGACAAGUGAAUCUUCUGUGGGAGGAAUGUUCUCAUUUCUGAACAGAAGAGGUCCCUUCCAAACAAAAACAUUCCCUUCUAUGACUCUAUGAUUGACUGGGGAUGGACAGGCAGUUGCAAGAAAACAGAGCAAGGAGGAGAGCUGACGCAAAGAGACCGAUGGGACACUGCAUGCAGAAUGAGGGCAUGAUCAGCAAGAUCAGCUCACAUCAAAGUAGGCGCUGUGAGGAGAGAUCUCCAAAAGAUGUUGGGGGAAGCACAAUGGACCAUGGCGUGUCCUCGUGUCCCUGCCCUCCUGCUGCUGGUGGUGGUUGGUACUGGUGUGAACACCUGGGACAUCUGUAGCUCCAGGACUGAUGGUACUCUCCAGGCUCCAGCCCUGGUCCUUAACCCUUCCAGAGCUCAGGAAGGGGAAAUCGUCCUGGCUCAAUGUGUCCUUCAGAAGAUGGUUCCUGCUGCCCGAAUUGUCUUCUGCAAGGAUGGGAUGGAGCUGUACAGCAUGAAAGCCCAUCAGCAUACGGUCAUCUACUCCAUGCUGCUGAACAUCUCUGCAAGAAGCAGUGGGACAUACACGUGUGCAUACCAGCAGAGGAAUGAGAGCAAUUGGCUAAGGAGAUCGCCCCUCAGCACUCCCUUGGACCUACAUGUCACAGGUGGGACAUGAUGCCAGGGUUGUGCGGACGCAGGGGAUGGGGGGACUGAACACCACAUAGAUUUUCUGGAUCAAGAAAUGCCACAGAGAGAAGUGGGCUCUGGAAUGGUCUCCCUCUCCAUCCCAUGGUGCAGAAAUGGGGCACUGCAGUGCCCAGGCUCAGAAAAAAAGG